rnacentral:rRNA from 1 species
UCCGUAGGCGGGCGACUAAGUCAGAGGUGAAAUCCCACAGCUUAACUGUGGAACUGCCUUUGAUACUGGUUGUCUUGAGUUAUAGUGAAGUAGAUAGAAUAUGUAGUGUAGCGGUGAAAUGCUUAGAUAUUACAUAGAAUACCGAUUGCGAAGGCAGUCUGCUAACUAUAUACUGACGCUAAUGGACGAAAGCGUGGGGAGCGAACAGGAUUAGAUACCCUGGUAGUCC